rnacentral:rRNA from 1 species
UGGGCGAAUGCCUGACGCAGCGACGCCGCGUGUGGGAUGAAGGUCUUCGGAUCGUAAACCACUGUCGGGGGGGACGAAGGCCCGGGGUUAACUGCCACCGGGAUUGACGGUACCCUCAAAGGAAGCACCGGCUAACUCUGUGCCAGCAGCCGCGGUAAUACAGAGGGUGCGAGCGUUGUCCGGAAUCACUGGGCGUAAAGGGCGCGUAGGCGGCUUGGUAAGCCGUGUGUGAAAUCCCGGGGCUCAACCCCGGAAUGGCACGCGGGACUGUCAGGCUAGAGCAUGGUAGAGGCGAGUGGAAUUCCUGGUGUAGCGGUGGAAUGCGUAGAGAUCAGGAAGAACACCAGAGGCGAAGGCGGCUCGCUGGGCCAUUGCUGACGCUGAGGCGCGAAAGCGUGGGGAGCAAACAGGAUUAGAUACCCUGGUAGUCCACGCCGUAAACGAUGGACACUAGACGUCGGGGGGAGCGACCCUCCCGGUGUCGUCGCUAACGCAAUAAGU